CAACCCUCAAGCCUCGCUUGGUGUUGGGGAUCGGCUCCUUCCGGGAGCCGCCCCCGAAAUCUAGUGGCGAUCAUACCAACGCAUCCUUAGCGUAGUAACAUACCCUCGCUCUGGAACGUGGUGCGGUCACGCCGUUAAACACCCCACUUCUCAA
rnacentral:misc_RNA from 1 species